UACGUAGGGUGCGAGCGUUAAUCGGAAUUACUGGGCGUAAAGCGUGCGCAGGCGGUUUUGUAAGCCAGAUGUGAAAGCCCCGGGCUUAACCUGGGAAUGGCAUUUGGGACUGCAUUGCUAGGGUAUGGGAGAGGGAAGUGGAAUUUCAGGUGUAGCGGUGAAAUGCGUAGAUAUCUGAAGGAACAUCAGUGGCGAAAGCGACUUCCUGGACCAAUACUGACGCUCAUGUGCGAAAGCGUGGGGAGCAAACAGG
rnacentral:rRNA from 1 species